rnacentral:pre_miRNA from 1 species
UCUCAUGGAUGAGCAAAAAGAGUAGUUUCUUGAAACGGAAACUACUCCUAGUGAGAAUGCUGUGAA